GUACCUUUACCUAGCUCAGUUGGUUAGAGCACGGAGCUCAUAAUGCCAAGGUUGCAGGAUUGAUCCCUGCAUGGGACA